UACGUAGGGAGCAAGCGUUGUCCGGAAUCAUUGGGCGUAAAGCGCGCGUAGGCGGCCUUGUAAGUCCGUUGUGAAAGUCAAAGGCUCAACCUUUGAAAGCCGAUGGAUACUGUGAGGCUAGAGUCCGGAAGAGGCGAGUGGAAUUCCUGGUGUAGCGGUGGAAUGCGCAGAUAUCAGGAGGAACACCAAUAGCGAAGGCAGCUCGCUGGGACGGUACUGACGCUAAGGCGCGAAAGCGUGGGGAGCAAACAGG
rnacentral:rRNA from 1 species